rnacentral:rRNA from 1 species
UACGAAGGGGGCUAGCGUUGCUCGGAAUCACUGGGCGUAAAGGGUGCGUAGGCGGGUCUUUAAGUCAGGGGUGAAAUCCUGGAGCUCAACUCCAGAACUGCCUUUGAUACUGAGGAUCUUGAGUUCGGGAGAGGUGAGUGGAACUGCGAGUGUAGAGGUGAAAUUCGUAGAUAUUCGCAAGAACACCAGUGGCGAAGGCGGCUCACUGGCCCGAUACUGACGCUGAGGCACGAAAGCGUGGGGAGCGAAUGGG